AACUCUAAGCGGUGGAUCACUCGGCUCGUGCGUCGAUGAAGAACGCAGCGAAAUGCG
rnacentral:rRNA from 2 species